GUAGGGGGCAAGCGUUAUCCGGAAUUAUUGGGCGUAAAGGGUGCGUAGGCGGGUUAUCAAGUCUUUGGUUAAAAUGCGGUGCUCAACGCCGUAGUGCCAAAGAAACUGAUAGUCUAGAGUAUGGUAGAAGUGAGUGGAACUCCAUGUGUAGCGGUAAAAUGCGUAAAUAUAUGGAAGAACACCAGUGGCGAAGGCGGCUCACUAGGCCAAUACUGACGCUGAGACACGAAAGCGUGGGGAGCAAACAGGAUUAGAUACCCUGGUAGUCCACGCCCUAAACGAUGAGUACUAAGUGUAGCCAGAAGGCUGUGCUGAAGUUAACGCAUUAAGUACUCCGCCUGAGUAGUACGUACGCAAGUAUGAAACUCAAAGGAAUUG
rnacentral:rRNA from 1 species